UCUAUUAAGACACGUGGGACACCAUUUCUUUACAUAGAAAUAAUCACCACCGUAUCCAGCAUAUGUUUAUAUUUGUUGCAUUCCUUUUGUGCUAGGAUAUAAAUAUAUAUAUACACAUCUGAUAUAUUAAUUCUUAAACAUUAAGGUUCUCUAGAUAUCUAGCACCACCGUAUGUUGCUAUAUAUGUUUAUUAGUUGUGUAGAACCAUAGCAUCCAAGAAGAUUAGCAUUUCCAUGUAUAGCUAAUAAAAGGGCACUAGCCAUGGUAUUUUCAAGCCACUGGUUCAACGUGAAAAUGGGGAAUUUGGCCUAGGGAGAGAGUUGCUCCAAGACCAUGUAUAGUUAUCCUCCUCCGUCGACUUUAUGUUUAUAACAUCGGUUUCCUCCGGAUCCUAGCAAAUCAGAGAAUUUUUUUCAAAGAGAAGGUGGAAGAAAAGUAUUUCUUGGCAUAUAAGGUAACGGCGUGACAUUGGGGGAGGGCAAGUGAAGGAUAACAUAUCUAAACGACAAAGGUAGACAGGAAGGUGAGCUUGGUCCAGACCCUUAGUAGCUGUCAACUGAUUGAGAGCACUCCAUUGUCCGGAGGUGCUUAUGGUUCUUCUUUUGGUAUAUAUGCAUAUUUUGGGCAUGACGGAGUCUUGUUCCGUCUAUAUGUUUAGUAUGUCAGUAGAGGCUCGUAGAUACGCAGUGUGGGUCAGAUGGUCUCGCAAGAUGUUAUUAUUAUGUAUAUGUUAUUUUAAUGGCCGAGAGGCAAAUGUAUAUAAGUAUUUAUGUUUUUAUAUAAAAUAUGA